CUCUUUUUAAUAAAAUUCAACUAAGCAUGCCACCUAAAUAAAAAAAAAAAUACGUGACCAUAUCACGUCACCAUCCACAUAUAAUUUUAUUUUUUAAUUAUAUGACAUUGUUUUCUUCUUCAAGUUCUGUUUUGCACCCUGUGAACAAUCUUCUGAAGGCGAUUAUGCUUUCCCGACGAAAAUGUUAGGCAGCACCCUAUCCAACCUUCGAAGCGCUGAGACUCUGAGAUAUAUAGAUCUUCCCAUAGGCGCUCCGCCCGAGUAUCACUAUGAUUUUGCUGAUUUGUGGAUGUGUUACAGUCGUCAACUUUUAUCAACUAAUGUAGGUACCUACUUUUUUUUUUUUUUUUUUUUUUUUUUUUUUUUUUUUUUUUUUUUUUGUGGCUGAAUUUGAAACAACCCCUUUACUCUUGACCUGACUCCUAUUGCCUUGUGUCAUUCAAUAUAAUUUAUCCAUGAAUUUUGAACUCACUGUUUUUUUUUUCCUUGAUAACCUUAAGCUUUUGCAUUGUCCUUGAAUAUGUUUUAGCUUGUGUAUUCGAAUUGCAUACAGUUUUGUGAUUCUCGUUGUCUAUGUAUGUAUGGUCGAUACUGCUCUGUGGUUACUUGGUUAUGUUUGCAUAUAAAAAAGAUUGCUUUAUUUUGCAUGUGGUUGGAAUUACUUGUGUUAUUUCCACUACGAUUUGUCUUGUUUCUUCCAGUUUGUAUAGGUUCCAUUACCAUUGGCUUAUUGUUACACGGCGUAUAGACCUUGAUACUUUUUGUUAUAAACCAAAUGGAAGGGAGAGUCCAACCCAAAAGACUAGUCUAACAGGUGGGAGAACCCUUAUAAUCCCCUUAGCAAUUCUCUAUUUUUCCAAUUGGUUCAUAACAAUCGCUUCCGCUUGAGAACCAAUGACCUCGUUGGUCACGGCUGAGCCCAGUCGGUCACGACUGACACCCCCCU
rnacentral:lncRNA from 1 species